UGAAUAGGUAGAGGAAAAUGAUUGCUGGUUAGUAGUAUAUAAAUUCAGAGUCAGGAAUGAUGGUGAUGUCGGCUGGGUGCGGUGGCUCACGCCCGUAAUUCCAAUGUGAUACCCUACCUUGUUUUUAAUCUGAUUGACUCUCCCUUAGCUGAGAGAGCCAGGCAGACUCUAUUUUGGCUUCUUCGCUUGCAGUCCCUCACCCACCCCCCUUCCUCAAGGACUUAAGCUGACUCCCAGCGCAUCCAAGAAUGCAAUUACUGAUAAGAUACUGUGGCAAGCUAUAUCCACAGUUCCCAGGAAUUCGUCCGGUUGAUAGCACCCAAAGCCCCUGUGUCUAUCACCUUGUGAUAGAUUUAAAGCCCCUGCACCUGGAACUGUUUGUUUUCCUUUUACCAUUUAUCUUUUUCACUUUCUUGCCUGUUUUGUUUCUGGAAAAUUGCUUCAGCUCGGCUCCCUCUUCCCCUUCUAAACCAAGGUAUAAAAAGAAACCUAGCCCCUUCUUUGGGGUCGAGAAAAUUUUGAGCGCUAGCCAUCUCUCAGUCGCCAGCUAAUAAAGGACUCCUGAAUUAGUCUAAGAGUGUGGCGUUUCUCUAUAACUCACUCGGUUACAACAUUUGGAGGCCACAGCGAGAUCCGCCACCGGGUGAAAUCUGGACCCGUUCCGGGCUCCCCUGGACAGACGGCGAGCUUAUAGGGGAGGCGCCACCUAAAGACGUUCCAGGGCCAUGUAGGCCACCGUCUUCCAGAUGGGGACAGAUCGGCUGCCGGUGUGCUCAACCAAAUUCAACUCCUGAGUCCUCAGUUUCUGGUCCCGGGAAGAGCCUGCCCUCACCCGUGAAGAGCAACACAAUCUGCCGGUCAUGGGAACAGGGAACGUCAACCUUGCAGCAGGGUUUGGACACAUAGGAAGCCGGACUGCAUGUGGAAACUCUAAAGGUGCAGAAAAAGGACUCCAGGGCACUGACUUUUACCUCUGUCUUGGAAAUCACCCUGACUGAAGUUGUCAAGAUUCUUAUCAGUUUUUCUGCCCUCACUGGUCCUGUGUAACCCUAGCCACUUACCCUGGAGGAUCAACCCAGUCCUCAACCCUCUCCAUAACUCGCACUUCCCAUCCUAGACUGUGUACUAUGAGAAAUUGUAACCCUCUUACUAUAACUAUCCGUAACCCUGGUACAGCUCAAUGGUAUUAUGGCAUGUCAUGGGGAUUAAGGCUUUAUAUCUCAGGAUUUAAUGUUGGAACUAUGUUCACCAUCCAGAAAAAAAUCCUGGUCCCAUAGAGCUCUGCUAAGCCAAUCGGACCUUUAACUGAUUUAGGUAAUCCUAUGUUCCCAAAACACCCAGACAGGGUCGAUUUAACUUUCCCACCGCCGUUCCUGGUUCCUAAACCUCAGCUGCAACGACAACACCUCCAACCCAGCCUGAUGUCCAUUCUGGACAGGGUACAUCACCUCCUUAAUCUCACCCAGCCUCAACUAGCCCGAGAUUGUUGGUUGUGCCUGAAGGCCAAACCCCCAUAUUAUGUUGGAUUAGGAGUAGAAGCUAUGCUUAAAAUGGGCUUUCUUUCGCCAGGCACAGUGGCUCACGCCUGUAAUCCCAGAACUUUGGGAGGCCGAGGUGGGUGGAUCAUGAGGUCAGGAGAUCGAGACCAUCCUGGCUAACACAGUGAAACCCUGUCUGUACUAAAAAUACAAAAAAUUAGCUGGGCGUGGUGGUGGGCGCCUGUAGUCCCAGCUACUCAGGAGGCUGAGGCAGGAGAAUGGCGUGAACCCGGGAGGCAGAGCUUGCAGUGAGCCACGAUUGUGCCACUGCAUUCCAGCCUGGGCAACAGAGCGAGACUCUUCCUCAAACAAAACAAAACAAAACAAAAUAAAAUGGGCUCUCUUUCUUGUCA